AGACAGAGAGGGAGAGUUUGUGGGGCAGACGUGGAGAGCUGGGGACUCCGGCGGGAGCGGGGCUUGCCAGGGUCCAUUGUACUCACGCUGGGGGGCUGAAGACCUUCUUGUACUGGUUCUGUUUAUCAGCUAAACUUUAGCUGACCUUUGGACUUGUUAAGCAAGUAGUUUGCAGCCUAGUGUGGAAGACUCCGGGGCUUUCCCACCAGCCUCGAGUCCGGAUUUAGUCUGGAGAGAAGAAACUGUGCUUCGGGGGUUCAGCUCCAGGACACAAGCGGUUCCUGGAGCCAAGGAUGGCGCCCUGCAGACGUGAGGCUGCAGGUGGCAGCGGCGGUAGAAGCACAAGUUGAGAAGGUGCCCAUAAAACCGCUGAGGGAUAAAAGUUUUUUUCACCCGGGCCUGGGCCGGGAAGGAAGCCGGGAACUUUUCAGCACUCUAUGAGUUUCACCUGCAUCUCCCUGGGGCGCAAAGUGUGUGGGAAGGAGUCCCGAGGCGCACCCAGACCUACAGGCUGAACCUGACCUGCAGAAGAAUAGGGGAAGGGGCUUUUUAGGAUCCCCGGCUCACAGACCGAAAGCUCCUGGGGCAGAGGACACCUCUUUCCCCUCUCUAAGCCUCAGUUUCCUCAUCUGUAAAAUACUGAUACCUACAGUACAGGGAGAGGAGCCUUGUAUGCAUUGAAUGAGACCACCUGUGAAACCUCUUAGUGUAAUAAUAGCGUUCACCCUUUGCAGUAUAGGAAGGCAGGAAGCCACUUCCCAGUAGUAAAAUCUAGUCUCUGGAGGCUUAGAUUUCUCAAAACCAGGAAGAUCUGGAACUGAGUUUGGAGGGACUGGGAGAUUAGAAACAAAAAUUCAGAAUCCACAGGGAAUUUGCAAAGGCUCUUCUAAGCAAAUUCUCCUACCUUUCUCACCUUUACAAGAUAAUUAGGAGGAAGUUGGGCUUAGUUUGGGGAAGAGGAAUUUCAAUGUGGGGGAAGAGGAGUCAGCAAGCUCUCAAUUUGCUUGAUUCAGAAUCAAAUCUAGAUGUACUCCAGGUGUAUUGAUUCAAGUCAGGUCGUUAAGAAGCUAGGCUGUCUCUUUCAAAUACAGAAUCAGCUACAGAUGUCUGGACCACCUAUGCUGAGAGCCAGAAAAUAGCGAGGUGGUCGUGUGCCUGGAGCCCUGGGGAAGGUUUCCCUGAGAAGGGGUAAUAAGUUCAUGGAAAUGGGAGCCCUUCCUUUCACCUUAUUGUCUUCUAGUUUGUUGUGACAUAUGGCAGGUCCUUGCCCCUCACAGUUUAGCCCACUACGAGAACAUUCUCUGCCUCCCCAGUUCCCCUCAACCAGGAUAAUGAAGUGCUGAGAGUAAAUGUCACUGGAAAACAACCUCUUUUUUUUCUGUUUCUCACUUGCUAUCAUGAUAGAAGCAGUCAAGUGUAAUGAAGAUCAGUUUCUGUGUUUAGCUGGGAAAACCCAUUAAAAAACCAGCAAUCACUUCCCUUUUAACGACAAAGCUUUGAUUUGUAGUUCCAACUGUUGUGUGCUCAGUCUGACUCUCGAGCUUCCUUAUCUCUCAAAAUUCAGGUGUCAGCAAACCCAUUCUUCUCUGUACCUCAAAUAAACUGUGAAUGUACAAGAAGUUUCACAGAGUACAGGGAAACUUCCUGUGAGUGUCCAGGUACAUCUUGCAGGUGAUCUAUAUGUAUUUAGCAACUUCCUGUAAUCCUGCCCAGAUCUGCCUUGUAUAUACCACCUAGUGCAAUAUGGGUGCUCACCAAGUAACUGCUACUAUAGAUCUGUGAACAGAUCCAAUACCUACCCCUUCCUAUGGAAAUUUCAAAAGGAAAGUGUAAGCAUCCCAGUAGAGAGUCCUUCAGGAUAUGAGUCAAAAAUGCUAACUAAAUGAUUUAUCAAAUAAAACCCUUUAGUUAAACUCCCAAGUAGAGGAAGCAAGAAAACAGUGGAAAUACUCUUUGUUUAUGCUUCACAUAGGAUAAAGUGGUGAUGGAUGGACUGAUAUCGUAGUCCUAUUUCAACGAUGGGGAAAAUAAGACGUAGGACAUUUGAAGGCGGUGUCUUGGAGCCAUUGGAGCAAGUUAAUUGAAGGGACGAGACUGGGGUUCAGGACUUUUGAACAGGGCUUUAGGAGGAAAGACAAAGGUUUCUAGCUUUUACUGAUUUGGGAGAUAAAAAGUUGAAAGCGAGGAGUCUAUAAAGGAAAAGCAGAGAAUUUAUAGCAGAGAAGAGAGGGUAGAUAUUGGAAUCAAACAGACCUAAAUUUUGGUCUGAGAUAUGCUUAACCAGCUGUGUGACUUGAGCAUGUUACAUAAUCUUUCUGACCCUCAGUUUCCUCAUGUGGAAAAUGAUAAUAAUACGCUACUAUGUUUUGGGAAAGAUUAAAUGAGUUAGUACCCUCAGAUUCCUGGAGUGUGACAGGCUCACAUGUUUAGAAAGAAGAAGCACAUCAUGAAAACACUUGAAAAACUGAGACAGCUGAUGUCUGGGCUCUUUGAUUCCCAGCUUGUUUUUUUUUUAAGAGUUACUGAAUUUGAAAAGACUACCUUACGUUAUUCUACUCAAACAAUGAAUUCACAGUUCGAAUUCCAAGAUUUUUUAUGGGAGAUGCAGUCCCUGCUGUAAGAUAAUUUAAAAUCAAUUGGCUCAUCACUCUAUGAAGGUUUUUCGAGGAUCAUCUUGGAAAUUUCAUAGAAUGACAAACCAUUCCUGGGGACCCACCUCUCCUGUAACUUUGCAGCAUAAGUGAUAUUCCUUUUUCGCUCUUGUGCAUACAACCUUCCCCCUACUUUCCAUGGUUACCCUGCUUUUCUUAGAGCCAGGAGUGCCUGGCCUUCUCCAUCCUCUGCUACUCCACUCUCCAAGACUUUCCCAUUGAUUAUGGAGUCUCUAGAAGGCCUCAAAAUGAAAUCAUCUCUAGAGAAAAACAUAAAUAUUGCCCUAUCCUGGUCUGAAGAAGACCAGGGGCCUUCUUGUUAGAGAGUAGUUUCACAGCCUGAAGAACAUUCUAGACUGCAGGGUUAGUAGCCUGAAGUUCUAGCUCUGGAUACAACAUUCCUUUCUGGAUGACUCUUCACUUUCCUAAAGGCUUUGGUGAGCGCCUUCUCUGGGCCUUUGAUCUUUUGAAAAGUGGCCAUUUGGCCUGGAUGACUAUUUAGCUUUCCUGUGACUUGAAAAAUAAAUGGUCCUAAAUUACCAGGGAGUCCAUUUUCAGGCCUUUGGGGCAGAUGGUCCAAGAGCUCGGCCAGACCUCUAUGUAGUGCUGGACAUGGUACUUUUGAUGAACCCAUGAAGAAAUACACCAUAGGCAGUAAGCUCCAUAGGAGCAGGAACCAUCUCAUGUCUUACUCUUCGAUGCCUGGAGAAAUGCCUGAUACAUAGCAGUUGCUCAAUAAAAUAUUUGUUGACUAAAUAA